rnacentral:rRNA from 1 species
AUUGAACGCUGGCGGCAGGCCUAACACAUGCACGUCGAACGAGUGGCGGACGGGUGAGUAAUGUCUGGGAAACUGCCUGAUGGAGGGGGAUAACUACUGGAAACGGUAGCUACUACCGCAUACCAUCAUAUGUUCCCAGAUGGGAUUAGCUUGUUGGUGGGGUAACGGCUCACCAAGGAGACGAUCCCUAGCUGGUCUGAGAGGAUGACCGGACACACUGGAACUGAGACACGGUCCAGACUCCUACGGUGGGAGGCAUUGGGGAAUAUUGCACAGUGGGCGCAAGCCUGAUGCCGCCAUGCCGCGUGUAUGAAGAAGGCCUUCGGGUUGUAAAGUACUUUCAGCGGGGAGGCGUUACCCGCAGAGGAAGCACCGGCUAACUCCGUGCCAGCCGCCGCGGUAAUUC